GAUGAACGCUGGCGGCGUGCCUAAUACAUGCAAGUCGAGCGAACAGAUAAGGAGCUUGCUCCUUUGACGUUAGCGGCGGACGGGUGAGUAACACGUGGGUAACCUACCUAUAAGACUGGGAUAACUUCGGGAAACCGGAGCUAAUACCGGAUAACAUUUGGAACCGCAUGGUUCUAAAGUGAAAGAUGGUUUUGCUAUCACUUAUAGAUGGACCCGCGCCGUAUUAGCUAGUUGGUAAGGUAACGGCUUACCAAGGCGACGAUACGUAGCCGACCUGAGAGGGUGAUCGGCCACACUGGAACUGAGACACGGUCCAGACUCCUACGGGAGGCAGCAGUAGGGAAUCUUCCGCAAUGGGCGAAAGCCUGACGGAGCAACGCCGCGUGAGUGAUGAAGGUUUUCGGAUCGUAAAACUCUGUUAGUAGGGAAGAACAAAUGUGUAAGUAACUGUGCACGUCUUGACGGUACCUAAUCAGAAAGCCACGGCUAACUACGUG
rnacentral:rRNA from 1 species